GACGAACGCUGGCGGCGUGCUUAACACAUGCAAGUCGAACGUAAAUGCCCUGCUUUUGUGGGGUGCUCGAGUGGCGAACGGGUGAGUAACACGUGAGUAACCUUCCCUUGACUUUGGGAUAACGUCAGGAAACUGGGGCUAAUACCGGAUAUGAGCUCCUGCUGCAUGGUGGGGGGUGGAAAUUUUCGGCGGUUGGGGCUGGACUCGCGGCUUAUCAGCUUGUUGGUGGGGUAGUGGCUUACCAAGGCUUUGACGGGUAGCCGGCCUGAGAGGGUGACCGGCCACAUUGGGACUGAGAUACGGCACAGACUCCUACGGGAGGCAGAAGUGGGGAAUAUUGCACAAUGGGCGGAAGCAUGACGCAGCAACGCCGCGUGCGCGAUGAAGGCCUUCGGGUUGUAACCCGCUUUCGCCUGUGACGAAGCGUGAGUGACGGUAAUGGGUAAAGAAGCACCGGCUAACUACGUG
rnacentral:rRNA from 1 species